UACGUAGGGUGCAAGCGUUAAUCGGAAUUACUGGGCGUAAAGCGUGCGCAGGCGGUUUUGCAAGCCGGAUGUGAAAUCCCCGGGCUCAACCUGGGAAUGGCAUUCGGGACUGCAAGGCUGGAGUGCGGCAGAGGAGACUGGAAUUCCUGGUGUAGCAGUGAAAUGCGUAGAUAUCAGGAGGAAUACCGAUGGCGAAGGCAGGUCUCUGGGCUGACACUGACGCUCAUGCACGAAAGCGUGGGAGCAAACAGG
rnacentral:rRNA from 1 species